CUUCCUUCCUUCCUUCCUUCCUUCCUUCCUUCCUUCCUUCCUUCCCCCUUUCCUUUCCUUUCUUUCUUUUUUUAAGCUGCCAGAGGCUCCAGACAGAGGCUUCCAUUUUGACCCCUCCCCCAUCGUAGUCUCAGUGUAGUUUUCAGCUCACUUCUCCCAGACUUCUGCACGUGUAUGUUUGUGUGUGUGUGUCCCUUGCUGUGCUGUGACAUUGGAGAGGACAAGAUUGAGAGAAAUAAACUGGGAUGAGAGCUUCUUGCAGCCUUCCAUGGAGCUGGGGGCUGAGAAAAAAAAAAGCAUUGCAAAAAAAACAGCUUUUGUUAGCUUGCAGCCUACUAUCAACAGAAGUUGAAGGCAUGGGGCUGCAAGGAGUGAGACAGCUCCCUCUGCCCCCUCCUGCAUGUACACACACACACACACACUCAAACAAACUCGGCAGCAGAGACAAUGGCCAUUUUUGGCAAGACCAAAGCUGUGACAACUGGGACAUGAAGAAUAUGUACUGGAGAGAGUUGUGGGCAGUGGAUUGAAACAGGGACGACUGUUUCCACAACAUCUUCACACCUGUGGAUUGGCUCAUUCCACAUCAAACUGAGAGGAGGAGUUUCUAACCAUUUUAUCCUAACGGAAUUGCCUGGGCGGAACUCAGACUCUGCUUUGCUUUUGACUUGCAAUCACUCCCUUUCAAUAAAAGGUUCCUUUUGAAA